UCAGUAUAUAAAUAGGCACCAUCCAGGCAACACAUAAAAAUCUAAAUUUUCUGUUUUCAACUAAUUUUAAGCAAAAAGUGUUUUUAGAUUUAAGUAUAAAGUGUAAAAAAAAAAAAAAAAAAAAAAAUGAAAAAAACAAAAAAAGGAAAAAAAACCCAUACAAAUACAGCACGUUGCAAACGACCAGUUCCAGUAGACAAUGGAUGGGUCAUACGUAUUGAACACAUAUACGUACAUAUGUACGGUACCACAGAGGAGAAGUACUUCUGUGGCGGGACGGCUCGAGUCUCAAGGCAGGCUGCGAUUGGUAACUGCUCAGUUUCAGUG